AUUUUCCCCUGGGGUGGUAAAUCACUGCUGUCCUACAGCAGGGUCAGGUUGCCCAGGGGAAUGAACAGUGGCUCGAGAGCACUGGGAAAGUG